UUGCGUGUGUUAGCUGAGUGAAAUUAGGAUGUAUGUGAACAUUUCAGUAUUACCAUAUAAUUUUAAUUUUGGGGGCAUGUGUGCAGGCGCGCUCGCUCUGCAGAGAAGGUGAUCGGCCGUAGUCUGCAGCCUGUCGAUGAGGCUUCCAGGACUCUGAAGCGUGCAGCUGAGAUUGUGGCUAUUUAACAGACUCCCCUCUGGCCGACGGCUGCGAUCCAUCGAGUACAGGAUCCCUCGCAUGGCCAAGAGAAACCCACCACCAUCCCACUGUGACUGGGAAUUGAAGAGAGUUUCUUGCCCUGGCUCUGCUGCUCUGUUUCAUUCAGUUUAGAAUCACCAAUGAACCUAAUGAGCAUGAACCUAACGAGGAAGCCGUGCAGACUCCACCCAGAAAGGCCCCAGUUCUCCGAUGGACGGGAACCCAGAACCUUCUUGCUGGGAGGCUGUGAAAUUACAGAAACGGCCAAAUUAAACUAUUUAUAACAUCCGCAACUAAACAUGUCAGAAUUAUUAAUAUUAUAACAUUUUCCCAAAAAUCCGAAACAAACUUUCUGUUGCUUUAUAACCUUAGUAUGUUCUAGUGUUAAAUGGCAGAUUGAGCCUGUUUUAGUGUUUAGUGUAUUUUUACAGACACUUCUACCUUCUACCUUGUUGUGAAACGUUAUUCAUUUCCACAGGGGGCCACAUGAAAAAUCUCAAAAUUUGAACUUAAUUUUGAUCAAUAUUAAUUUUCUCCCAUUGUAAAAAGCAGUAAAUUAUAUAUUUUGAUAAACUGGUAAAUGGAAGUAUAAGAAUAUUCUGUAAAUUUUUAUUUCAAUUUUUAAGUUUUGGUGUAGGUCAAAGAGGAAAAUAAAACACAAUCGAUCUCUAGUUUUGGAUAUAACGCACUGGAAUAUUGGAAACUUGAAUUCUGUUCAAACCGCCUGUUGGACCGUGUAGCUACAUUAAUUAAUUAUUUUCUGUAUCUUAAUAAAUCUCAUUAAAUGCUUAAUAGAAGCUGUCUCAGUCAUCCUUUUUGAAGAAUUAACGAACGCAGAUUCGCGUAAAUAAUACGUCAUGGCUUUUCAAAAUAAAAGCAACAUAAUUGUAUUGCAUGCACCAUAUAAAUACUUAUUUGCCUUUUUUAAAAUGUAAAAAAGUAUGUGGCCUGCUGGCUGUAAAAUGCCCAGGUCCGUCCUAUGCAUUAAGAAUUAAAAGUGCAUUAUAUUUUUUGGGUAAAGGCAGAAUUUGGCGCGUUAUUUUUGUCCAGAACGUUCUCGUUGUGAGGAAUCAACUGCUCAGAGUGAAAUAAAUCCGCAGAUCCUGAUCGAUGGCGUCUGACUGACCGUCUUAAACCUGCUACACGUGCAUGUUUCACUGCUGAUUUCUAUUGAAUAAUCGAAGGCACCUUCACGUUUGCUGUUUCACUCCUGAGCUCAGUUCAUAAUACAAAUCAAUGUAUAGAUUCAGUUUCAUCUGCACAGAUCCUCACACAUGGAAGACACAUGCUAUGUUACUGUUGUGCAACCCUUCCAGCGGAAUGGAAUUCUACUGAUGAUGAAAUGACUUUCAUGCGGGUCUCGUCUGCUCUGCAGGACGGCCAGCGGACACACGGCUGUUAUUCAGAAACGCCCCAUACAUCAACACGUUGCUCAACGGGUCGCGGUGACGCCCCGGUGCUCCCCACAUCGUUCUCCCUCCACGUUUGUCUGCCUCAGCUCCUUCUGAGCAGAACCGGCCCUUCGCGUUGAUCUGGUUGGUGGAGUGGAGAUAAAUGUUGGUUCUCCCAAACAAUGAGGCGAA